rnacentral:rRNA from 1 species
GAUGAACGCUGGCGGCGUGCCUAAUACAUGCAAGUCGAACGAACAGACGAGGAUCUUGCUCCGUUGACGUUAGCCGAGGGCGUGUGUGUCACGCGUGGAUAACCUACCUGUCAGUCUGGUAUAACCUCGAGAAACCGGCGCUUAUCCCGUAUGAGAUAUUGCACCACGGGGUGCAAUGGUAAGAUACGGUGUUUCUGUCACUACUAGCUGGAUCUCCGCCGCAUUAGCUGGUUGGUAGGGUCACGGCUUAUCACGGCAAGGAUGCGUAGACGACGUGAGAGGGGGAUAGGCCACAUGAGAACGGAGACACGGACCAGACUACUAAGGGAGGCCGCAGUAGGGAAUGGUACGCAAUGGGCGGAAGCAUGACGGAGCAAGGGCGAGUGAGUGAUGAAGGUGUUCGGAUCGUAAAACUCGGUUAUGAGGGAAGAACAAAUGUGUAAGGAACUAUGGAGGGAUUGACGGUAACUAAUAAGAAAGCACCGGCUAACUACGUG